UUUUUUCUUUUUGAGGCCACACCUGAGACCUAUGGAAGAUCCUGGGCUAGGAGUCAAAUGGGAACUACAGUUACAGCCUAUGCCACAGCCACAGCAAAGCCAGAUCCCAGCCGUAUCUGCAACCUAUGUCACAGCUUGUGGCAGUGCCAGAUCCCCAACCCACUGAGGGAGGCCAGAGAUCAAACUCAUAUCUUCACAGACGCUAUGUUGGGUUCUUAACCUGCUAAUUCACAAAGGGAACUCCUAGCAACACCCUUUAGAUAGCCAUAGACAAUGAGUGAGUGUGAGUCAGUAUGGUUAGGCAGUGGCAAGGGGGCAGUUCUGAUCUUAGGCAUCCUAGCCACCUCUGCCUCACACAGUGAUGGAUCAAAAGGCUCUUCUGCAAGGACUAAAAAUAGGAAUCUUAGGAAUUCCCUUUCUAGGUUUCAUAUAGAUCUGCACACACACUCUACUGGUCCUUAAACUCAGCUUCUUUUACCUCUGACCCUUUUGACCCUUUGGCGAAGACCAAACUGCUGAUUUGUGAUUUUUGUGAAAGUCUCGAGAGGCCGGGGAUGAACUUUCCAAACUCCCUUCAAUUUCAGACUGAGGGCCAUGGUUGUUUGCACAACUUUCCUCAUCCUCCUCACCCCUUAACCUCUGAUGGAGGGCAGUCAGGUGGGAGGAGAAAGAGGAGAGGGUUGGGCUUUGUAUGAGACUGUACUGUUUUGGGGAGGGAGUGCAUGUGGGGGGGGUACACAUGCUAAAGUGAAUGAAUUUUAUGAUUUUAGUCUAUAUUGCAGUUGACAGCACUAAAUGGACCAAGUUACGAAGACAUUCUUUUCCUUCCUUCCUUCCUUCCUUUCCUUCUUUCCUUCUCUCUUUCUUUUUAAUGACGAGAUCAUAUAGAAGUUCCCGGGCCUGGGGAUUGGAUCUGAGCUGCAGCUCAAUGUCAGAUCCCUUUAACCCACUGCACUUGGCGGCCACCUGAGCUUCUGCAGUCAGAUUCUUAAUCCACUGCACCACAGCAGGAACUCUAACAAAGACAUUCUGAAAUAUCCUGCUCCCCCACCUCUAAAAUCAGGGAGUCUAAUGUCAAUAUCACUUUAGUUGAAUGUCUUCAGAGGCCAAAUUGCAAAGGAAGCAUCAAGCAGAAUGAUGGACCAUCACAGCCAACCCUGGCACAACAGUGGCCAUCCAAGAGACACAGCCGCUCAUAAUACUGCUGAAACAUCCCUGCCUUCCACUGAAGAAUUCCGACUGAAAACAAAAAAGCAAACAAACAUCCUAAGAUGAACUGUGAACUGGGUAGGAAAUCUUACUGUGACUACAGUCCUGAUAUAGAAAGUGCCCUGUUGUUCCCGUCGUGGCAUAGUGGGAAUGAAUCCGACUGGGAACCAUGAGGUUGCAGAUUCGAUCCCUGGCCUCGCUCAGUGGGUUAAGGAUCCAGUGUUGCUAUGAGCUGUGGUGUAGGUUGCAGAUGUGGCUUGGAUCUGGCGUGGCUGUGGCUGUGGUGUAGGCCAACAGCAACAGCUCCAAUUAGACUCCUAGCUUGGGAAUCUCCAUAUGCCACAGGUGCAGCCCUAAAAAAAAAAGUGCCCUCACCUUUAGCCGUGUGUGCCAUGACGACAAUGUCCCCACCAUGAGUGGACAAAGGCAAGUCCAGUGGCUGCUGCUGCCCAUAGAACUGAUGCUGACAGUCUCACACCAGGACAGUAAAAAGGACCUCAGCCUGAACCUGCAGCCACCAUCACUUCAUUUGUUCAUUCAGUUAGUCAGUCAGUCAACAAACAUUUAUUGAGUGCCUUGAGCUAAGUAUUGAGAAUGAAUAUAAAGAAUUUCAUAUUUGGAUCAGGAAAUAUCUAAGUUCUUCAGUAAUGGAGACUUCCUUCCUAUAUUUACUGUCAGAAAAUCAAAUAUGAAACUAGAAGAGGUUUGGGUACUUUAGAGACUGGGUCCAAAGAAAAGAAAUGGGUAGCUAACAUGCCUCUGGAUCUUCUCUUGGUCCUAGGGGUGUACAGGAGAUGGGUGAACACCUUCGAUAUCAGUCAUAUCAAUCAACUGGUCAAUCAAAAUGAGCACCGUCAUUCAUUUGUGGUGUUUGUGUUUAUUCCAAGUAUAAAACUGCAUGCUCAUUACAGGAAAUUUAGAAAACAGAAAAUUGGGGGAGAAUAUAAUAUGUAUAAAUUAUAGAUGAUAAACAUAAUAUAUGUAUGUCUAAUAUGUGAAUAUGCAUAUGUGUGUGUAUGUUUGGAUAUAUACAUAUAUAUCUCUCCCAGCAUCUGAAUUUUACUUUUUUUUAAUCAUUUGGUAUAUUCUCUUCUAGUAUGUCUCACUCCGUCUUUCUCCAGAACUUAGUCAUUUUUAAAAACUCAUCCAUCUAUAGAUGCCAUAUGAUCACUGUCCAGAUCUUUUUACCACACCUGUAUUUCCUCACCAUGAUUUAGAAUUUCCCAAGGUACCACCUUAAGAGCAGGAGAUUUAAUUUUAAUUCUGAAAUAGCUUAAGUUAAAAAUGUUGGCUGUUAAGAUACCAAGUGGUUCAUCCUGGAGCCAAAUGCAUUUAUGCAUCAUUUUAUUUGCCUUUGUUGAGAAUUUUCAAUGGCCCAGACUGAUCCUUUGAUUGACAUGCCUAAGCCAGGAUUGACCAUGGAGGUAUUUCACACACCCCGUGCUUGUGUACAAGUGUGUACAUGCACCCUCUGGCCACAUUCCAUCUCCUCCCUCUACGACACUGAUUGAGGAGGACAUGAGUUUGUGUUGUCUGGGAUCCGCUGUCUCUUUUGUAGCAGUGAAAGGUUCUGGCCUUGCUAGAAUUGUGAGCCCACUCUGUCAUCACCAGCCUCACUGCCUUCUAGAAAGCAAGCGAGUUAGGUCUGGAGUUGCCACUGGAGCAGUAACAGGGGAGAGCUGGGUCAUAAAGAUCCCUCCUGUUAGUUGCUGGAGGGAGAAGGCUCUGCUCCUCUAAGCAAAGUAAGAUGGAAAGAAUUAACUGGAGAGUGGCUUGUCACACCCACCCAGCCUGACAGCCCGACAGGUGAGUUAGCAAAUGCUACAUUGUAAGGAAUUGCAAGCUAUUUUCUGCAAAGUGGGCAAAGACUCUGGGAUUAACGACUGUACAACAUGAUAGAUGUUGCUAAAGAAGGCCAUAAAUUACCAGCCAUAAACCUGGCAAAGCUUAUCUGAUUGUAUGAUGCAGUCUGGGGUGCUGGCGGAUUCCCAGCACAGGCUGGGGGUGGUGGGCUGGGGGCAGGCGUUGAUGUGGGUGGGAGCUGGCAAUGCAUACCACUGGCUGGAGGGUACAGAUGGUGAGCUUGGCAGUUGUCCAGCAUUGGAGGUUGUGGAGGCAGCAGUUCUGCUGGACCGGCUCUGCCUUCUCUGAACUGCAGUUCUUAUUCAGAAAUGCUGGAAAAGCCCAGACAAGCUUGCACAGGAUCAGUAGAAGACCUCAGCCUUCUUCCCCUCCCCUAGGUGUGGAAUUGGUGGCUAAGGAGGUAGGGGCUUUCCCUGGAUGUGACUCAUGGGAUCGGGUCGCAGCUGUGUUUCAUCUUAGCACUCGAAGAGGAAGAUGAGGUUGGUGGGGAGAGGGUUAGAGAGAGAACCUCAAAUGAUUUCUGCUUUAGACUCCCUCUGGCAGGGCUCCCAAACCUAGUCAAGUAUAUCUAAAACUGUGAUCAUGACAAAGACAUUCAAGCUUUGACCAUGGCCUCAGAUGCUUGUCAAUUUGCAGUCAGACCCCAAUCCUGUUCUUACACUCCUGACUCGAGCCCUAUAGUCUCCUCAUCCUCUUUUCUUAUCUCCCAUUGUGAUUGUGGAGAAAGGGAGAAGGCAAUCAAAGUCAAGGAGAAAAAAGAGGGAAAAGAGAGGGGAAGAAAAAGAGGAUAAAAUGGAAGAGAUAGUCCCAGUAGGGAAGCAGACAAAGCUACCAAAAAAAAAAAGAUCACACCCUUCUCUGCUAAGGUCUUCUCCCCUACCCCCCCCCACCAAUUACUGCAUCAAACACAAAGUUGAUUAACUACCAGUGGGAGAUAUGCAGCGAUAAAAUAUGGAGCUACUGUCUGCCUUCUUUCCUCCCGGUGUGACCUGUUACACACACAUGAACCUUGAUACACAUGCUUUUCAAAAAGUGUCUGCUUACCAAUUAAUAAAGAACAGUCUCAACAGAGAGCAGGGCCCCUCCUUUCCUGCCUUUCCAGGUGCAACACUGACCCUUGUGAGGGAGGGCUACAAAGCAGUGAAGGCACAGCUGCCCCCUGGCUUGUGGGUCUAGGGCGGUGGAAGGUGGGUUCAAGGGCAAUAAAGCACAGAGCUUAGCUCUGGACGAAGCCAAAGGGUCCGAGCCAGUGCUAUCCAUCAACCUAAGUAUUUACUGAGACUCUAUUAUAUGCCAGCCACUAGGGAUUUGGUGGUGGACAAAACAGACAUAACUCCUUCCUCAUGGAAUUCAGUAACCAAGCACUUGAGAGAAGCAAGUGUUUCCAGCUCUCUGCCUCACAAAUACACAGUAGGACUGCACUUUCUGGCCCCUUUAUGUUUGGUAUGGCCGUGUGACUUUGAGUGGAGAUGAAUGAGUCACUUCUAGAAAAGAGUUUUCCUUCAUUGCCAAUAUAAGAUGCUUCCAUACAAUGUCUAACAUUCCAUGUUCAGUGGUGGCUGCUGUAUCAGUCUGGGUCACUGACUGCAGUGGACAUGCAGCAGAAACAAGAAAUGAACUUUGCUUGUUUCAAGUCACUGAGAUCUGGGGGGCCUUUGUUGCUUUAGCAUAACCUAUCCUGGCUGAUAUAGGCCUCUGAGCAACCAACACAUUGAUGCAGAGCCUCCUCUGCACAUAAGGUGCUGGUUAGUUCCUUCAGGUGUGUAACUUAGCUCCCAGACAGGUGGUGAGCAGGCUGAGGAUAGAGAUCAUGACCCUUGAGUGUUUGUAUCCAACCAUAGCACCUGACACGUUGUAGAUUCCACAGCAGAAGCCAACUAUCACUGUUGGCACAUGGUGGAUUUUCAAUCAAUGUGUUGGUCACUGAGAGGAGUAUAUAAAUCAGGACAGGUUAGGUUAUGGGGCAGAGGUAAAGGAUGAACAAAACUCAAAGCAUGAGCGAGCAUGCCCAUGCCACAGGGUGGCUGGUGAGGGAAGGUUAUGAACCUGAGUUGAGCCUUGAAAAAUAAAUUCAUCGAGGUGAGCAGAAGCACAUGGAGCACUCUGGGUGGGAGAGGACCCUCGCCACAAUGUACCGGCGGACAAAGCCAUGCUUGGGCGCCAUUGGUAUAAAAGAUGC
ensembl:lncRNA